AUUGAACGCUGGCGGCAUGCUUUACACAUGCAAGUCGAACGCGCCUUAAGGGGCAACUCUUAAGGUGAGUGGCGAACGGGUGAGGACACCAUCGGAACGUACCCGGAAGUGGGGGAUAACGCCGCGAAAGCGGCGCUAAUACCGCAUAUUCUGUACGCAGGAAAGCGGAGGACCUUUUAGGCUUCGUGCUUUCGGAGCGGCCGAUGUCCGAUUAGCUAGUUGGUGGGGUAAAGGCCUACCAAGGCUGCGAUCGGUAGCUGGUCUGAGAGGAUGAUCAGCGACACUGGGACUUAGACACGGCCCAGACUCCUACGGGAGGCAGCAGUGGGGAAUUUUGGACAAUGGGCGCAAGCCUGAUCCAGCCAUGCCGCGUGCGGGAAGAAGGCCUUCGGGUUGUAAACCGCUUUUAGCCGGGAAGAAAAGGCCACCGUUAAUACCUGGAGUCCAUGACGGUACUGUAAGAAUAAGCACCGGCUAACUACGUGCCAGCCGCCGCGGUAAAAC
rnacentral:rRNA from 1 species